UAGGGAAUCUUCGGCAAUGGACGGAAGUCUGACCGAGCAACGCCGCGUGAGUGAAGAAGGAUUUCGGAUCGUAAAGCUCUGUUGUUAGAGAAGAACGUUGGUAGGAGUGGAAAAUCUACCAAGUGACGGUAACUAACCAGAAAGGGACGGCUAACUACGUGCCAGCAGCCGCGGUAAUACGUAGGUCCCGAGCGUUGUCCGGAUUUAUUGGGCGUAAAGCGAGCGCAGGCGGUUCUUUAAGUCUGAAGUUAAAGGCAGUGGCUUAACCAUUGUACGCUUUGGAAACUGGAGGACUUGAGUGCAGAAGGGGGGAGUGGAAUUCCAUGUGUAGCGGUGAAAUGCGUAGAUAUAUGGAGGACCACCGGUGGCGAAAGCGGCUCUCUGGUCUGUAACUGACGCUGAGGCUCGAAAGCGUAGGGAGCAAACAGG
rnacentral:rRNA from 1 species